AGUCUUUGAAUUGUUAAGAGUGCUCGAACUUUGUUUGGGCGCUAUGAUUCAACAAUCUUGAAUAGGAAGAUCUGAUGC